rnacentral:rRNA from 1 species
AAAGGGGGCGUAGGUGGCUUUGUAAGUCAGAAGUGAAAGCCCUGGGCUCAACCCGGGAAGUGCUUUUGAUACUGCGAAGCUUGAAUGUGGUAGAGGAUAGUAGAAUUCCAGGUGUAGUGGUGAAAUACGUAGAUAUCUGGAGGAAUACCAGUGGCGAAGGCGGCUAUCUGGACCAACAUUGACACUGAGGCCCGAAAGCGUGGGGAUCAAACAGGAUUAGAUACCCUGGUAGUCCACGCCGUAAACGAUGGAUACUUGUUGUUGGUGGUAUUGACCCCAUCAGUGACGAAGCAAACGCGUUAAGUAUCCCGCCUGGGGAGUACGGUCGCAAGAUUAAAACUCAAAGAAAUUGACGGGGGCCCGCACAAGCGGUGGAGCAUGUGGUUUAAUUCGAUGCAACGCGAAGAACCUUACCUGGGUUUGACAUCUACUGGAAGACUCUCAGAAAUGAGGUCGCCUUCGGGCCGGUAGACAGGUGCUGCAUGGCUGUCGUCAGCUCGUGUCGUGAGAUGUUGGGUUAAGUCCCGCAACGAGCGCAACCCUCGUGUUUAGUUGCCAGCAUUCAGUUGGGCACUCUAAACAGACUGCCGACGUUAAGUCGGAGGAAGGUGGGGAUGACGUCAAGUCCUCAUGGCCUUUAUAUCCAGGGCUACACACGUGCUACAAUGGUCGGUACAGAGGGAAGCCAAAUAGUAAUAUGGAGCCAAUCCCUUAAAGCCGAUCUAAGUUCAGAUUGAGGUCUGCAACUCGACCUCAUGAAGGUGGAAUCGCUAGU